rnacentral:rRNA from 1 species
CUUCGAGGUAUUGAAAUAAGGCUUUAAAUGGGUGCUAAGAGAAUGGUUUAACGAAGAUAGACUUUUUUCUUUUUUUAAUUAAAAGUUGAUUUAAAAAUGAAAAGGUUUUUAUAAAAAUUUGGGACAAGAAGACCCUAUGAAUUUUAAUAUAAGAUUUUUUGAUUAAAAUUUAUUAAAAAAUUUUAAAUUUUUCUUUUAUUUGAUUGGGGUGAUUUUUAAAGAUUGGGAAUCUUUAAAGUUUUGUUAAGUAGAUCCAUUAAUAAUGAUUUGUUGAAUAAAAUACUCUAGGGAUAACAGCGUUAUUGUUUUGGAUAGUUCAUAUAGAUAAAACAGUUUGCGACCUCGAUGUUGGAUUAAGAUACCCUUGAAGUGUAGAAGCUUCAAAAAUAAGGGGAGUUUGCUCAACUUUUAAAUUCUUACUUGAUCUGAGUUCAGACCGG